rnacentral:rRNA from 1 species
GUGCCAGCAGCCGCGGUAAUACGUAGGGGGCGAGCGUUGUCCGGAUUCAUUGGGCGUAAAGCGCGCGCAGGCGGCAGCCGGAGCCCGGCGUGAAAGCUCCCAGCUUAACUGGGAGAGGUCGUCGGGGACCCGGCAGCUCGAGGCCGGUAGGGGUGAGCGGAAUUCCCGGUGUAGUGGUGGAAUGCGUAGAGAUCGGGAGGAACACCGGUGGCGAAGGCGGCUCACUGGGCCGGUCCUGACGCUCAGGCGCGAAAGCGUGGGGAGCGAUCCGGAUUAGAUACCCGGGUAGUCCACGCUGUAAACGAUGGGUGCUAGGUGUCGGGGGUAUCGACCCCCUCGGUGCCGCAGCUAACGCGAUAAGCACCCCGCCUGGGGACUACGGCCGCAAGGCUAAA